GAUGAACGCUGGCGGCGUGCCUAAUACAUGCAAGUCGAGCGAACAGACGAGGAGCUUGCUCCUCUGACGUUAGCGGCGGACGGGUGAGUAACACGUGGAUAACCUACCUAUAAGACUGGGAUAACUUCGGGAAACCGGAGCUAAUACCGGAUAAUAUAUUGAACCGCAUGGUUCAAUAGUGAAAGACGGUUUUGCUGUCACUUAUAGAUGGAUCCGCGCUGCAUUAGCUAGUUGGUAAGGUAACGGCUUACCAAGGCAACGAUGCGUAGCCGACCUGAGAGGGUGAUCGGCCACACUGGAACUGAGACACGGUCCAGACUCCGACGGGAGGCAGCAGUAGGGAAUCGUCCGCAAUGGGCGAAAGCCUGACGGAGCACAGCCGCGUGAGUGAUGAAGGUCUUCGGAUCGUAAAACUCUGUUAUUAGGGAAGAACAAAUGUGUAAGUAACUAUGCACGUCUUGACGGUACCUAAUCAGAAAGCCACGGCUAACCACGUG
rnacentral:rRNA from 1 species